rnacentral:tRNA from 1 species
AAUAAGAAACAAUAUUUGUAUUUAGUUUCGACCUAAAAUUAUGAUCUUAAUAGAUCCUUAUUU